rnacentral:rRNA from 1 species
GAUGAACGCUAGCGGCAGGCCUAAUACAUGCAAGUCGAACGAUAGAAGAGGGCUUGCUCUCUUCGAAAGUGGCGCACGGGUGCGUAACGCGUAUGCAACCUACCUUAAUCAGGGGGAUAGCCCGAAGAAAUUCGGAUUAACACCGCAUAAAAUCACAGUACAGCAUUGUACAAUGAUCAAAUAUUUAUAGGAUUAAGAUGGGCAUGCGUGACAUUAGCUAGUUGGCGGGGUAACGGCCCACCAAGGCGACGAUGUCUAGGGGACCUGAGAGGAUGACCCCCCACACUGGGACUGAGACACGGACCAGGCUCCUACGGGAGGCAGCAGUAAGGAAUAUUGGUCAAUGGAGGCAACUCUGGACCAGCCAUGCCGCGUGCAGGAAGACAGCCCUCUGGGUCGUAAACUGCUUUUAUUCGGGAAUAAACCUACUUACGUGUAAGUAGCUGAAUGUACCGAAGGAAUAAGGAUCGGCUAACUCCGUGCCAGCAGCCGCGGUAA